rnacentral:lncRNA from 1 species
ACAGGAUCAUGGCCUGUAAAAUGCUUCAAGCUGCCCUGUGUUCAACAUUGCUUAUAGGAGUACUGGGAGCACCAUUUUUAUUGGAGGACCCAGCAAACCAGUUCCUACGUCUCAAAAGACACAUAUAUUUGCAGGAUUACUGGAACCCAGAUCACAGCCCGAAUACGUGGGGAAACACACUGGUUGAUCAGGCUCAUGAAACAUGGACUGCUUUGAAAACGACAGCACAGUAUUAUCUGAAUCUGAAUACUUUCACCCUUGACACGUAUACUGCCCAGUAAAUGUACCUUGCUGGUUAAACCAGGAUAACAAGAAUAGUGGGACCCAAAAAGUGGCGAUGUACCCCAACCACCAGCUUUGGGGACCUGAGGGCAAAUCCACACCACUUACUAUAUUAUUUAUGUCUGCCUCAUGGAGCCAUUGAAAGGAGUAAAUAUGGAAAUCCACACUGAUACCUCGAAUUAGAAGUUCUCAAUAAAUGGUAGCUCUUAAAAUGAUAACUGAAAUAA